GGUCUUCAAGGCAAAGCUUGGUUCACACCAAACAGCAAUUUUAUAUAGUCCAUAUCAAUCAUGACAAUGGCGUUUGGGGUUAAACAUGUUUUCGUAGGUAAAUAAUAUUGCCAUGGAACUUUUUUCAUGAGAGUGUUAUAGUCUAUAGAGUAUUACUUCCUGUUUGGUGGAAUAGUGAAAUAGAAGUCAAUACGUUCUUGCUCAAUCCUAUGUCGCUUUGAAGGUGUCAUGAUUGUCAUCCUCAGCUUAAGCAAUGUGUUACUGUAAUUUGAAUUUCAAAAUGACUGAGCGACGUUUUUCGAAGCACUGGUCAACUCCACCAUAGCGAAUCACAUGACUUUGACAAUCAGUAAAUUCCAGCGAAAAAUAUCUCUAUAAGGAAAGAAUUGUCGGAUAAAAAUUAAAUAAUAGAGUACACAGGAAAUGGCAAAGUUCACAUAGUCGCGUAUGAUUAAUCAUUUAAAAAAAAAAAAAAAAAAAAAAAAAGAGCAAAAAGGGGGGGGAUGGGGCGUACGCCCUCUACGUCCCCCUCUGGAUCCGCCACUGCCUUCUGUUGUUGUCCAUUUUGUCAAGUAGUAAUCCUCAAAAGUAUGUGUAGGU
rnacentral:lncRNA from 1 species